UACGUAGGGAGCAAGCGUUGUCCGGAAUCAUUGGGCGUAAAGCGCGCGUAGGUGGCUUCGUAAGUCCGUUGUGAAAGUCAAAGGCUCAACCUUUGAAAGCCGAUGGAUACUGUGAAGCUAGAGUACGGAAGAGGCGAGUGGAAUUCCUGGUGUAGCGGUGGAAUGCGCAGAUAUCAGGAGGAACACCAAUAGCGAAGGCAGCUCGCUGGGACGUUACUGACGCUAAGGCGCGAAAGCGUGGGGAGCGAACAGG
rnacentral:rRNA from 1 species